rnacentral:rRNA from 1 species
UAAGUNUGAAGUUAAAGGCUGUGGCUUAACCAUAGUACGCUUUGGAAACUGUUUAACUUGAGUGCAGAAGGGGAGAGUGGAAUNCCAUGUGUAGCGGUGAAAUGCGUAGAUAUAUGGAGGAACACCGGUGGCGAAAGCGGCUCUCUGGUCUGUAACUGACGCUGAGGCUCGAAAGCGUGGGGAGCGAACAGGAUUAGAUACCCUGGUAGUNCACGCCGUAAACGAUGAGUGCUAGGUGUUAGGCCCUUUCCGGGGCUCAGUGCCGCAGCUAACGCAUUAAGCACUCCGCCUGGGGAGUACGACCGCAAGGUUGAAACUCAAAGGAAUUGACGGGGGCCCGCACAAGCGGUGGAGCAUGUGGUUUAAUUCGAAGCAACGCGAAGAACCUUACCAGGUCUUGACAUCCCGAUGCCCGCUCUAGAGAUAGAGUUUUACUUCGGUACAUCGGUGACAGGUGGUGCAUGGUUGUCGUCAGCUCGUGUCGUGAGAUGUUGGGUUAAGUCCCGCAACGAGCGCAACCCUUAUUGUUAGUUGCCAUCAUUCAGUUGGGCACUCUAGUGAGACUGCCGGUAAUAAACCGGAGGAAGGUGGGGAUGACGUCAAAUCAUCAUGCCCCUUAUGACCUGGGCUACACACGUGCUACAAUGGCUGGUACAACGAGUCGCAAGUCGGUGACGGCAAGCUAAUCUCUUAAAGCCAGUCUCAGUUCGGAUUGUAGGCUGCAACUCGCCUACAUGAAGUCGGAAUCGCUAGUAAUCGCGGAUCAGCACGCCGCGGUGAAUACGUUCCCGGGCCUUGUACACACCGCCCGUCACACCACGAGAGUUUGUAACACCCGAAGUCGGUGAGGUAACCUUUUAGGAGC